AAGCUUGUAGCGUGUAAGUCGCUCUGGAUAAGAGCGUCUGCUAAAUGACGUAAA
rfam:Salmo salar isolate Sally breed double haploid chromosome ssa09, whole genome shotgun sequence.